UAAACGACUCUCGGCAACGGAUAUCUCGGCUCACGCAUCGAUGAAGAACGUAGCAAAAUGCGAUACUUGGUGUGAAUUGCAGAAUCCCGUGAACCAUCGAGUUUUUGAACGCAAGUUGCGCCCGAAACCUUUUGGUCGAGGGCACGUCUGCCUGGGCGUCACGC
rnacentral:rRNA from 1 species